GGAUGCUAAAGUUUGGAGACCUACAAGUUGAGCUUACUCCUGAAAAAGCAAACAUUGGUGCCGUAAUUGCUGUUGUUUUUGCAAUAAUUUCCUGGCAAUUGAGUCAGGCCAUUCAAAAUACUCCCGAAAGCUCUUUGCAGUAUGCGAAUGACAAUGCAUUGCUACUAGCUAAGUCACUAAGGGGAGCCCUUCUUGCAAUUUGUUAUUCAUCUACCAUCCUGUCAGCGUGUUCUACGAUAGGGCUUCUGUUGUUGGGAAGACAACUGAGCGCUGAGAGUAAGUCCAAGAACCUCUAACCAA
rnacentral:misc_RNA from 1 species